rnacentral:rRNA from 1 species
UACGGGGGGGGCAAGCGUUGUUCGGAAUUACUGGGCGUAAAGGGCUCGUAGGUGGCCAACUAAGUCAGACGUGAAAUCCCUCGGCUUAACCGGGGAACUGCGUCUGAUACUGGAUGGCUUGAGUAUGGGAGAGGGAUGCGGAAUUCCAGGUGUAGCGGUGAAAUGCGUAGAUAUCUGGAGGAACACCGGUGGCGAAGGCGGCUCACUGGCCCGAUACUGACGCUGAGGUGCGAAAGCGUGGGGAGCAAACAGG